UGUGUGCAUUAACUCAAUUUGCCUUUGGAUUCCUAAGCAAACGUUGUCCACUCUGUUCAUAACAGAUUGUAGUUUGAGGAACAGAAAACUGUAUUGAGAUAAAAUGUUUAAUGCAUGAGAAAAUUUGCCGAAUUUCGGCCAAACCCCAUAUCGUUCAAUCUUCUCCCACUCUGCCAGUGGGCUUUCCCCUCACUACCAUAUAUAUACAUCCAAUGAAAUAUCUGUCGCAUUGUUCUGUCUGUGAUGUCGCAUUUGCUCUGUUGCAGCGGUGGAACAGGACGUUCCGGGAAGGCGCCAGAACUGUGUGGUGGAGACGAUAUAUUUUGUGUCAGUUUCACAUGUAUUACUACAGGUCAAGUCUGAGGUCGGUAACAUCAACAGUGAGGACAAGCCCAGCCUGCCUCUCUCCUUCCACACUGAGUCCAAACCUACAGUCACUGGGUCCUGAUUGUGGCAGUGGAGCCCAGUUUGCACUGGAGGAUGCAGAGAUGACAUCAGUGAAGCUGGAAGACUGCAGUCAAACACUGGAGCUGAAUGUCAACAUUAAAGAUGAAAGAAGAGGAGGAGAAGAUUGGGAAAUCUGUUUAUGAUGGACCAUUCCAAAUGAUUGGAUGACAGAAACAUUGUUUCAUUAUCCAGUCUGUUGAUGUUGGGAGUUUGAGGGAGG